rnacentral:precursor_RNA from 1 species
AUCGCGUUCGGCGUUCUGAUUGGCCGGCGUGAACGUACCAACCAAUCAGAGUACAGAACACGCUUU